rnacentral:rRNA from 1 species
AUUGAACGCUGGCGGCAGGCCUAACACAUGCAAGUCGAGCGGAUGAAGGGAGCUGGCUCCUGGAUUCUGCGGCGGACGGGUGAGUAAUGCCUAGGAAUCUGCCUGGUAGUGGGGGAUAACGUCCGGAAACGGGCGCUAAUACCGCAUACGUCCUGAGGGAGAAAGUGGGGGAUCUUCGGACCUCACGCUAUCAGAUGAGCCUAGGUCGGAUUAGCUAGUUGGUGGGGUAAAGGCCUACCAAGGCGACGAUCCGUAACUGGUCUGAGAGGAUGAUCAGUCACACUGGAACUGAGACACGGUCCAGACUCCUACGGGAGGCAGCAGUGGGGAAUAUUGGACAAUGGGCGAAAGCCUGAUCCAGCCAUGCCGCGUGUGUGAAGAAGGUCUUCGGAUUGUAAAGCACUUUAAGUUGGGAGGAAGGGCAGUAAGUUAAUACCUUGCUGUUUUGACGUUACCAACAGAAUAAGCACCGGCUAACUUCGUG